GAUGAACGCUGGCGGCGUGCCUAAUACAUGCAAGUCGAGCGAACAGACGAGGAGCUUGCUCCUCUGACGUUAGCGGCGGACGGGUGAGUAACACGUGGAUAACCUACCUAUAAGACUGGGAUAACUUCGGGAAACCGGAGCUAAUACCGGAUAAUAUAUUGAACCGCAUGGUUCAAUAGUGAAAGACGGUUUUGCUGUCACUUAUAGAUGGAUCCGCGCCGCAUUAGCUAGUUGGUAAGGUAACGGCUUACCAAGGCAACGAUGCGUAGCCGACCUGAGAGGGUGAUCGGCCACACUGGAACUGAGACACGGUCCAGGCUCCUACGGGAGGCAGCAGUAGGGAAUCUUCCGCAAUGGGCGAAAGCCUGACGGAGCAACGCCGCGUGAGUGAUGAAGGUCUUCGGAUCGUAAAACUCUGUUAUUAGGGAAGAACAAAUGUGUAAGUAACUAUGCACGUCUUGACGGUACCUAAUCAGAAAGCCACGGCUAACUACG
rnacentral:rRNA from 1 species